GACGAACUGUCCUAACGUUGUUCGGAAUCACUGGGCUUAAAGGGCGCGUAGGCGGUCCGACAAGUCAGGGGUGAAAUCCUGCAGCUUAACUGCAGAAGUGCCUUUGAUACUGUCGGUCUUGAGGGAGAUAGGGGUGUGCGGAACUCACAGUGGAGCGGUGAAAUGCGUUGAUAUUGUGAGGAACGCCGGAGGCGAAAGCGGCGCACUGGAUCUCUUCUGACGCUGAGGCGCGAAAGCUAGGGGAGCAAACGGGG
rnacentral:rRNA from 1 species